rnacentral:lncRNA from 1 species
CCGGCCCUAAUAAUAUAUAAAAUUAUGUUUAUAUAUAACAUUUACUCGGUGCAAUUGAUCUUCGUCUAGUUUUUCCUGUUUCACGUACCACGAAAAUUUAAUAAUGCAUUGCUUCCACGAAAUUAAUUCGUUACAUCUUUCGAUGACUAUAAAAAGGUGGAAAAUAAUUAAUAAAAAAAAUCUCAAUGGACCAAAAAUAUACCUUCAAGUUGAGCAACGUGUAAAUAAAAUAAAUUAUAUAAGAAAAUGUGUGAAGGAGAGGAAAAGCGUGGUGGUGCAAAAUGAGUGAGGAUCUUUUGCGACAAAGUAUACAAUGGGACGCAGUGGUCCACUGGUCCUCACCCUAAGCGUUUACUGAUAAAUUUUGUCAUGGUAACAAUAAUACGGUUAGAAACAAUAUUUUGAAACCCGAUACAUUUGGUUGAACCGGUAAACCCGAUG